UACGGGGGGGGCAAGCGUUGUUCGGAAUUACUGGGCGUAAAGGGCUAGUAGGCGGCCAACUAAGUCAGACGUGAAAUCCCUCGGCUUAACCGGGGAACUGCAUCUGAUACUGGAUGGCUUGAGAUUGGGAGAGGGAUGCGGAAUUCCAGGUGUAGCGGUGAAAUGCGUAGAUAUCUGGAGGAACACCGGUGGCGAAGGCGGCAUCCUGGACCAACACUGACGCUGAGGAGCGAAAGCCAGGGGAGCAAACGGG
rnacentral:rRNA from 1 species